rnacentral:misc_RNA from 1 species
AUGUGUUAGGCAUGCGAGGGCUGUCGCUGACCUCGAGGUCGUGCACGCCGGAGCGUGUCCUCUCACAUAACGCAAUCCAUCUCACCCUUUGUGCACCACCGCGUGGGCCCCCUUUGGGGGGCUCGCGUCUUCACACAAAACCCCCCCUUUAAAAGUGUAGAGUGACCUCAUUUAUGAAAUCAAUACAACUUUCAACAACGGAUCUCUUGGCUCUCGCAUCGAUGAAGAACGCAGCGAAAUGCGAUACGUAAUGUGAAUUGCAGAAUUCAGUGAAUCAUCGAAUCUUUGAACGCACCUUGCGCCCCUUGGUAUUCCGAGGGGCACACCCGUUUGAGCGUCGUGAAUACCUCAACCUCCUUGGUUUCUUCUGGAGACCGAAGGAGGCUUGGACUUUGGAGGCCCUUGCUGGCGUCUCUGCCAGCUCCUCUCAAAUGAAUUAGUGGGGUCCCCUUUGCCGAUCCUUGACAUGUGAUAAGAUGCUUCCGUGUCUCGGUUUCUGGCUCUGUUGCUUUUGGGACCCGCUUCUAAUCGUCUAGACCUUGCGUCAAGACAAUGUUCAAGCCACGUCUCCCUUGUCGGGAAAUGUCCUUGACCUCAUGAACCCUUGACCUCAAAUCGGGUGAGACUACCCGCUGAACUUAAGCAUAUCAAUAAGCGGAGGAAAAGAAACUAACAAGGAUUCCCCUAGUAACUGCGAGUGAAGCGGGAAAAGCUCAAAUUUAAA